UGAGCUUCGGCAGAGAGAGCAUCUGUGAGCCAAAUUCACCGGUGCAGGGUUUUAAGAUUGUAUUACUGGUGAAGAUUGUGGUGAGAGAGAAAUUUUAAGGAAUAAUUUAUUGAAAAAGCCACAAGGAGAAGAGCCACGAGUGACACAUGGAGGAGUCCCAGAGGCUUAGUGGUAUAGAUCCACUGUCUCUUUUGGGUAUUUAAUUUAUGAUUUAUAAUGUGUUAUAUUGCCAAUAUUAGGGCUUUUUGUUUAUUGUCAAUUAUAUGAAUAUAUAAAUGUAAUCAUGUCUUUCAAACUAUUUCUAUUUUUGGUACAAUUUGGAUGACUGUAAUUUUAAUAUUUGGUUUACUUUGAAUCGGU